rnacentral:RNase_P_RNA from 1 species
AAAAGGCGUUGUACUACUGCUGGUUUUUGCAUUUAUAUGACAAAAACGAGAGGAAAGUCCGGGCACUGUAGGAGAUGAUUCCAGAUAACUUCUGGCGAUGUGUUUAUCACAUUAGGGAAAGUGGCGCAGAAAAUAACCGCCUAUUUUUAAUAGGUAAGGGUGAAAAGGUGUGAACAAUAGUUCAGGUUAUAGCAAUAUAACCAGGUAAGAGCUCACCGCUGUUUGUAGCAAUAUGAACGGGUCAAGCAAAACCCAAUCUAGUGCAAGACCAAGAACUGCAACAAAACGUCUCGUUCUCCGCGAGGCGGCAUAAUGGUAGGUCGCUCGAUUUUGCUGGCAACAGUAAAACUAGAUGAAUAGUAGUAAAUUAGCUAUUUUUUAGCUAAUGACAUAACUCGGCUUACAGACGUCUUUUCUUC